UGAAAGGGUUGCAGAUGCCUGUUCCCUGGCAUCCUCUUGUGCGAUGCCAGGUGGAGUCUCCCUUCCCCCUCUUUCCUGGUCCCGCUCAAUUUCCUAGCCACUUGUCCACCAAGAAGAAAUUUUCCUGGGUCAAAAAUAUUUCCAGGCGAUUUUGUCCCGGUCACAUGAGAUGUGUAGAUUGCACGCACAUAUCUAGCCUUUCCCCUCAGGAGCUAGCCUAGGUCUCCGCAGUUUCCUACAGAAAUCCACUCUCUUCCGCUCAAAAAUAAAUCCGCUAAUCGCAUCCCUUAUCACCACCGUCCCAUUUACUGAGAAAUCUUACAUUUCGAUAGCUCCCAAAAUUCACUAAGCUUGGGCACUUGGCUAUAACUUUGCAUCCCUGAAAAUAAAUUAGAAAAUUUGCCUCCAGUAAGCAUGCAAGAACGAUGGCAGGGCUUUGAGACUGCCACUUGUUUGGCGGGUGACAGGGUCCGCUGGGGGCAGAGUCGUUUACACACAAGUGAGUGGCUCUGUAAUGAGCAGGAGAAACAGUCAAGUCCCAUCUGGGACCUGUCGCAUCAGGAGAAUAUCUGUAGUCACCUAUUCCGCCCGGGGCCCCAAAUGCACCACCAGCAGUGUCGCCCCGUUAUUUUCAUUGUCUCAGGUGUCCAGAGGAUGAUGAGCAGGUCUUUGAAGUUGUUAGUGGGAUUAAUGGGUACAGCAAACUGGGCUAGACAUCUGGUUUGAAUUAGGAAAAAGUAUUGAUUAAUCUUUGAGAGGUGUCCCCAAAGCAGAACCUUCCCCCUCCUCUUCCAGUCCCCCUGCUUAAGCCUCACUAUCUUCUUUUCUUGUAAGUCAUGCUGUAGAAUAGUGGCUUCUCAAAAACAUCCGUGUGAAAGAUCGAAUUGUUUUCUAUUGCUUAGAGGUGGGGUGGAGUGGGGGUUGAUCAGGAAUUCUGAGAUUUGUAAGCGCUGCUUUCUUUAACGGAAAUUGAGCUCUAUUUUGAGGGAAAUUAGUUUUGCAGACUUCGUUUAAAAAAAAAAAAAAAACUAAAACUUUUGUUCACCAGCUGCUCAGCUUUUCAGUCUGGGUCUGAGCUGAAACCUGCUGCAAGUCUUUGACGGUACCAAAUUACAUAUAUCUGUCAAAAUGAUGUAGGACCUAAAGUGUCUCUGUAAGUUGAUCCUCUUGACCCCAUGAUUAGGAGCUUCACAAUGUGAUACCACACCUGGAAACCUCCAGAACAAGAUCUCAAGGAAACACAGGAAAUUCCUGAAACAGCAAAACCCCCUAUGUGAAGACGCCUGUUAUUCCUUUGUGCAUCAGGAGCAUCACUGUUAAUUAACUGUUGAUACACUUAAAAGAGCUUGGUUGGCAAUGUCCUUUUUGAAAAAAGAAGAGCCAGGUAUGUUAUUCAGGAUGAACUAGACAAUGCUGUCACAAGUUUACCUCUACGUCUUAUUGCCUUGGAAAAAUUGCCUGCAUAUUGUGGCACAAGAUGGUUGGCUCUCCAGGCAGCAGUUGGCAUUGUGAAUCAGUCUUCUCAGCAUGUAUCUACAAGAUCCCACGGCAGGGGAAAAAAGAGGUGGAGGGUCACAUGCCUGGUGUUACAUACUUCAAGGCAGAGGUGGUAGGUGCCAUUUCUGCUCACAGCUCAUGGACCAGAACAAAGCCAUGCAUACCUGCGAGAGGACCAGAAAAUAUUCUGAAGCACAUGGCUAUUUGGUGAGCAGUAAAUGUUUCUGUUACAACAGGUUUUGACAAACUUCAAAUGUACUCCUACUAGGCCUACUUCACACCACUAAACUCUAUACUUCUUAUUUCUUGAUGGCAUCUUAUGUUGAUGUUUUCUGUCAUAGUGUUUGGCACAAAAUGAGAGCUCAAUACAUAUACUUAAUAGUGCAUUUAGAUCUAAGAGUUUCACUUUACACAAGAUUUUAGUACCCGUGUAGCGUUGGGCCACAUCAGGAAAAUGUAACUGCUUCUACAACUGCAAAGAAAAAUUAACUAAUUAUAUGCUCGUCGCAGCUUCAGGUUUUUGUUUUGCUUUGUGUUUUGUUUGCUUGCUUCUUUUUGGUUUAUAAUUGUUGCUUUGUUUUUUGCCCUUGAGCAGAGGUUCAUUUCUAAUUUUCACUGGAAUUAGAACAACAGUUGUGUCCAUAUGCAAUGACAGUGUUUCAGAUUCUUUGAGGAUUUGCCCACAGUGUCUGCAGUCGUAUUGUGACAGCAGUUGUGAUGCCAAUCUCUGUAAAUCAGACUUAUUCCCAGUGAGACAUUAUAUAUUUUUGCAGCCAAUACUAUUUAUUUUAUAGUGAUUUAUAGCAUUGUCUCUGAAGAGGAUACUUUGGUUUGUGUCUUGUUUUUGUCAGUUUUCCACACUUUGAUUGUGGCCAGGUUAAUUAAUAUUUUUGUGUCUAGGUUUCCUCAUCUCUAAAAAAAACUAUGUUUAUUUCUAUAGCUUCAUGUUGACAAAUUAUAUAAACUAUGUUACUCAACUGGCAAGUAAAUUGAUGUAUAGUAUAUUUAUAAAUGAUAGAUACUAUCUUUAUGUUAAUUUUUAUUAUCAUCAUUAUCAUCAAUUUUCAGGUCCAUGUUCUAAAAAGAAGGCACACUGUCUAAAACAAGCUUUGUAAGAAAAUUUUGAAGUAUUUACAUAUAUCUAACCAUUCAUUCCACCUUUUCUCCCAAAUAACACUCUAAUACCUUGAGACAUCUUGUCUAGAGCAAGAUUUCAUAAAUGCUUGUGAGGCAGGAUAGUAGGGUCUGGAGACAGGAAACCUAAAGCCAAUUCACACUGACUUCCUAGUACUAAAUCUAAAGGAAAACCCCAACUUUCCUCACCCAAGUAACAAAAGGAUCAGAGGCUAUACUCCCUUUGCAACCUGCCGCCUUUCUGCCUGGAAGAUGAAAAAUGAAACGUACCUCUGAUUGGUCCCCUCCCGCGACCAGUCAGACUGGUCGCCGAUCACUGCUUCAUUUACAUAGGGUGUAAACCGAAUAACCAAUGGGAAACCUCUAGAGGGUAUUUAAACCCCAGAAAAUUCUGUAACCAGUGGUCUCCAGCAGGUUGCUCAAUCUUGCUCCCACUCUGUGGGAUGUACUUUUGUUUCAAUAACUCUGUGCUCUUCCUCCGUGGUUUUGUUUGUGCUUUUUGUCCAAAAUGCCAGGAACCUGGACACUCUCCACUGGUAACACUUGUUAAUCAAAUAAAGAAUAUGCUAAAGAUAAA